rnacentral:sRNA from 2 species
GAGAAUUCUAGAUGCUUUUGCUUAUUGAUCUAAUGUGCUCGGGAACUCGGUUUCCGGAAUGCACCAGUGUAAAUACGAUGCUAACAAAACCUACGAGUAGGAGCUAAGCCAGAGUGUUGGUCAACACGAUUCAAACUUCAUGGCUUAUCCCCAUACUCCUGAUGAUUCGAGAAAGGAACCAAGCCUCCUUGAAGCUUAACCCGGGUAGCUAUCUUAUUAUCAAUCAGAUAAUCUCAUCUGCUUCCAAGUGUCAGGCAAGAUUUAUUAAACCCUGCUUUCUUCUUCACGCAAUCACACCGACUCUUUCAUCAAAUUGGUGAUGACGAAAGAAAAACAGAAAGGAACGAAAAAAUUUAGGUACGGAAAGGAUUCCGCCACCUCCUUGCUCACAAUUGGCCAA